ACACAUUCAAGCACGGCUUGGUGUUGGGCGUCUGUCCUCACGGACUCGCCUCAAAAUUAUUGGCAGCCACUUCAGCGGCUUUGAGCGCAGCAGAAUUGCGUCUCUGGCGGCGAGAGGUGGCAUCCAAAAAGCUUCUUUUUACA
rnacentral:misc_RNA from 1 species